UUCAGCCCUUUCUCUGGAAAAAAAAAAUUGGCAGCCGCCAUUGUCACUUUCUAAGCCUCCAUAUUCCAUUUUCGAUCGGUAAUUUGUGGACGAAGAGGAGGCGUGAAAGAACAAAAACACAGGAAGACAAUGAAUGGAUCAAAACCUCAUUUUGUGGAUAAACGGUAGCAGUAGUUUUUCCAAAUCAAUUUUGGGGAAAUCUUGUUAUAUAGAGUUUCACGAUAAAUUGCGGCUAUCAAUCUUCUGGAAAGCUUGGAAUCAAGUUAAUUUCCUGUGUUAGAGCCUUGAGUUUAAUAGAUACGUAUAUGACUGGUUAUAGUGCAUAUCGAUUGGAUCCCGGUCCACUUGAACCAUCGGUACUAACUCAACAACUUACCCAUAGGUCACGGGAUAUAUGGAAUGGAAGUGUUAAUAUGAUUUUAAAUACGAGGAGGUGUGAUGGAAAAUUUUGCGACCUCGUAAAGAAAUAUCCCAUUCAUCCACGAGUCUUAGAAAUGAUGGAAUUAUCAGGACUAUAUGGUGUUUAUAGAUCAAAUCGACUUUCUAUUGAUCGUAGCUUGAUCACUUCACUAGUAGAGAGAUGGCGUCUCAAGACUCAUACAUUUCACUUUAGAACGGGUGAGGCGACAAUCACCUUGCAAGAUGUAGAAGUGUUGUAUGGCUUACCUGUGAAUGGUGAUCCAGUACUUGGUGAUGAGUCGAUAAGGACCAUAGGGGAUUGACAAAAUAUUUGUCAAAGAUUGUUAGGUUUUAUUCCACGUCCUCAAGACUUCAACCGUAGUAGCCUCUAGGUAACUGCACUUAAUGCGCAUAUGCUCGAGCAACUACAAUUACCUGACUUGACAACACAAGAAAUGAUCAAUCAAAUGGCUAGAUGUUACAUGUUUUGGAUGAUUGCUGGUAUGAUGAUGGCAGAUACAUCUGGCAACUAUCUAAAGCUUAUGUAUGUAGUUAGCUCUUAUAGUUGGGGUAGUGCGACCUUAGCGUGCUUGUAUCGCUUUCUCUGUAAGGCCUCACAGAGUAACCAAAAUGAGAUAGCUGGCUUUCUACCACUGCUUCAGAUUUGGGCAUGGGAGAGAGUAAUCGUCCUCAGACCUCAGGUAAUAGCACAAAGGGACAUCGAAAAUAAUUUUCUUGCUUGUUUACCUAGGGGUCCACGUGCUACUAGAUGAUUUGCACAUUUUAGUUGGACUGAUACCACUAAGCAUGUGUUGAAAGUUUUUAAGGAUGCACUUGAUUCCAUGACAGAGGAUCAGCUUAUUUGGAACCAUAUUCGGAUGACUUAAUUGAGAGUCUUCCUGAUUAUUGUCGAAUUGAACGAGACAUAUGGCGUGUAAGAGCUCCAAUUUUUUUUGGAUAUCGUUGAGGUUCACUUGCCUAAUCGAGUUAUGAGACAAUUUGGAUUAAAAAAACGGUACCAACUUCAUUUCUAUUUGACGCCACACAUUUUCACCAUGAUCGUAGGGGCAGACGAAAUAUAUAUUGGAACUUGGAGCAUGCACAAUGGUUGCCUCUUUGGAACCAACGACUUCAAUAUGUUUGUGAUGCUCCGGUCAAUCGUCAACCACUUCGAUAUGACGACCCUUACCUUAUUUGGUUUAGACGCAUUACUCGUCUUGUUAUUGGUAAUCCUACUCAGCGUCCUUAACAACAAGAAGGUUAUGUGACCAAUUCAACGGCAUAUGAAACAAUGGUGCGUCAUAUUCAUUCCAUGGUUGAUAGAGAAAAAACCCUUGGUGAUCAACCAUUAAUGGAGGAUUUAUACAUAUUUCGUGCAAUGGUCCGAAAUGAAGGAGAAAAGUGCUUGACAUAUGUGCACAAGGAUGCUAGGAUUAAUGUACAAGCCGAUUAUAGAAGAGAUGAGGUACAUGAUGAUCAUUUACAUCAUCCGGUUCGUAGGCGAGGAAAAGGUGGUGUUGCCGGUAGGAGGGCUCGUGCUGUUGAGAAAGGACGAGCGCCUAUUGAAAUGUAUGAAUCAGUCUUCGAAGAUGAUCACACAACUUGUGAUUUUGGUUCCAUUUCAAGGGGCCAAACUCAAGAAUUCACUCCCGGGGCAUCAGGUAUGACGUAUCAACCAACAAAUACUGAUAUUGUUCCAUACACGGCAUCACAAAUAUUAAGGAAUUCUAGUUUUUCAUCACUUGAGAAUGUAUUUGGUGGUUCUCGACCUCAACAUUUUGAGAAUGCCCCCAACUUUAAUUCAUCACUGGGCUGCCAAUGUCCAUUGAGACCCCUGGCGUUGUUAAUCAUUUAGAGGACUCCAACGAUGAAGUGGAGAAUGCAAACGAAUGUGGUGAACCAUCAGUGAAGGAGAAGCGUAGGAUUUUUCCUAAGCGUUGUGGGACUGGGAGUCACUAUCUUUACCAGCAUGGCAAAAAAAAAAAAA